rnacentral:rRNA from 1 species
AUUGAACGCUGGCGGAAUGCUUUACACAUGCAAGUCGAGCGGCAGCACGGGGGCAACCCUGGUGGCGAGCGGCGAACGGGUGAGUAAUACAUCGGAACAUGCCCAGUCGUGGGGGAUAACACUUCGAAAGAAGUGCUAAUACCGCAUACGUCCUGAGGGAGAAAGCGGGGGAUCUUCGGACCUCGCGCGAUUGGAGUGGCCGAGGUCAGAUUAGCUAGUUGGUGGGGUAAAGGCCUACCAAGGCAACGAUCUGUAGCUGGUCUGAGAGGAUGAUCAGCCACACUGGGACUGGGACACGGCCCAGACUCCUACGGGAGGCAGCAGUGGGGAAUUUUGGACAAUGGGGGCAACCCUGAUCCAGCCAUUCCGCGUGAGUGAAGAAGGCCUUCGGGUUGUAAAGCUCUUUCGGCAGGAACGAAACGGCGAGCUCUAACAUAGCUUGCUGAUGACGGUACCUGAAGAAGAAGCACCGGCUAACUACGUGCCAGCCGCCGCCGUAACAC